GGGAGAGGGAGAGAGGAUGUAAAUGCACUGAUCUCAUUCAGAGGCAGAGAGAGAAACAACACGAGGAAAACAGACUGUAGAUUUAAAUGUGUAGCAUCUGCUGAAGCUUCCGUCCGAUUUGUGCUCAGAGCAUCAGGAGCAUCAGGAGGAAGUGAGGAAACUUCAACACCCUGCUGCUCCUUCAGGAUUUGACCGUUUGAUCAUCUCAGUUUCAGACUGGAGGAGGUUCUGGAGAGCCAAGAUGAACCAAACUGCCUCCGUCUCACAUCAGAUCGAGUGUCAGCCCAUGAAAGACACAAAGGAGUUCGUGGACGUCAGCCCCCCUCAGAGGAACUGGAAGGGAAUCGCCAUCUCCCUGUUGGUCAUCGUGGUCGUCUGUUCACUCAUCACCUUGUCGGUGGUCGUCCUCACACCCGCUGAGCUCCCGGGAAGCAGCAAGUCCAGGCUGAGUGUGGAAGAUCUUUUCAAACCUGAGUUCAAUGCUCAUGACCCCGAGGCCAAGUGGAUCAGCGAUUCGGAGGUGGUGUACAGGAACAGAGACGGUGAUGUCAUCAAGUUUAACUUCGUCUUGAAUGAGACAGAAAUAAUUCUGAGCAACAGCACAUUCGUUUCUUUCAAGGUGGUGAAGUAUUCCCUUUCCCCCGAUCUGAAGUAUGCCUUGUUUGCAUAUGAUGUCAAUCCGAAUAUCUCCCAAAAUACACCAGAAGUACACAACCCACAGAAGCCUUUAGUGUACAGAUACUCCUAUACGGCCUCCUACAUCAUCUACAACAUCUACACAAGGGAGGUGUGGGAGCUCAACCCACCCGAGGUUCAAAACUCAGUGCUCCAACAUGCUGCCUGGGGGAGACAAGGACAUCAGCUGCUCUACAUCUUUGAAAACAACAUCUAUUACCAAUCAGACGUGAGGAGCAACUCUCUGAGAAUCACCUCCUCUGGGAUGGAAGGAGUCAUCUUCAAUGGCAUCGCUGACUGGUUGUACGAAGAGGAGAUCCUGCGCUCACACCUGACUCACUGGUGGUCACCUGAUGGAGAGAGAUUGGCCUUCCUCACCAUCAACAACAGCCUGGUGCCCAACAUGGUUUUGGCCCAGUUCACCGGCAGCACCUACCCCCGAGGCCUACAGUACCCCUACCCCAUGGUUGGUCAGACAAAUCCUGCCGUAAAGCUGUCGGUGGUUAAUCUGUUUGGUGCCACUCACACCCUGGAGCUUCAGCCUCCACAUCAGCUCAGACUCAGGGAUUUCUACGUCACCAUGGUGACGUGGAUCAGUAACAAGCACCUGGCCGUCCGAUGGAUCAACCGACCUCAGAACGUGUCACUGCUGACGAUUUGUGAUGUCGCUGUAGGAGUCUGUCACAAGAGACACGAGGAGUCCUCAGACACGUGGCUGUCCAGACAGAGACAAGAACCGCUGUUCUCCGAGGACCUGAGCAGGUUUUUCCUAACCAUGCCCAUCAAGCAGGGAGGUCACGGAGAUUUCCACCACAUCAACAUGUUCACUCAGAAGUCCCAUAGCGAUCAAGAUGAAGUUCGACAUUUAACGUCAGGAACCUGGGAGGUGACACGACUCCUCGCUUAUGACGAAAACAAUCUGACUCUAUUCUUUCUGAGCACCGAGGAAGCUGCACAGCAGAGACAUCUCUACAGUGUGUCGACAGUCGGCUUGUUUCCACGGCAAUGCCUCACCUGUGGACUGAGGGAGGGAUGUUCGUUUUUUGACGCUGACGUGGGUCCUGAUGCGCAGCAUGCCAUCCUGCACUGCCGAGGUCCUGCUGUUCCAGCUGAGUUGCUUCUGGAUCUCACCAAUGUGGACUCAUAUUUUAUUUUGGAAAACAACCUCCCGCUACGAUCUGCGCUGGACUCAAGGAGGAGGACUCUGACUGAAAUUAGGACGAUCACUAACGAAAACUUUGAGCUCCCUCUGAAGCUCGUUUUCCCUCCCGACUUCUCCGAGUCCUUCCUCUACGGCCUCCUCCUCAUCAUCGAGGGCGCUCCAGCUGAACAAGCUGUUACAGAGGAGUUCCGCCUGGACUGGGAUUCGGUCCUGGCCGAAUCAGAGCAGAUCAUUGUAGCUCGACUGGAUGGUAGAGGGUCUGGCUUCAGAGGUCAAAGAGUUUUGGAGCAGAUCAGUCAGAGGCUUGGCACCGUGGAUGUAGACGACCAGAUCGCUGCUCUCCAACACCUGGUGAAGCUGCCUUACAUCGAUCACUCUCGCGUUGGAGUUUAUGGAGUGGGCUACGGAGGAUAUCUGACUCUGAUGAUGCUGAAGUCAGAGAGGAUGAUCAGGUGUGCAGCAGCUCAGGCUCCCAUCAUCGAUUGGACCAUGUGCGCCUCGGCGUUGUCAGAAAAAUACUUCGGCUCCACUUCAGCUGAGGAGAACAGAUACCAGCGUGUCUGUCACCGCGUGCCGGUGAAUGAAGCCGAGGUGAGGCGAGGAUCCAGACGCGGGGAGGAAGACUGGCAGACAGGUCUCCAAAGUGCUGCCCGGUAUGAGAGGACUUCAGGGAGGAACUCUGUUUCUGGCCCAUGGCACUGCUGAUGCAAACGUCCAUUUUCAGCACUCAGCCGAGCUAAUCAAACACCUAAUAAAGAUCGGCGCCAACUACACGAUGCAGAUCUUCCCAGACGAGGGUCACUUCCUGUCCAGACACAGCCGGAUUCAGCUGACUCACUCUCUAAUUGGAUAUUUCAGAGGAUGCUUGUUCGACACGUCAUUGUUACUCGAGCAGCGGGAUGAUGAGUGAGAGGGAAGAGGGUCAUUUAUGUGUGUUAACAUGUGUUUGUGCCCCUAGUAGACCAUGUGUGUGUUUGCAUUUUAUACCUGGUAGCUGAAUCAUUUGCUGGACAAAACAAGCUUCUUUGUGAAACCUCAGACUUGUAGAUUUUGCUCUCACAGUUUAGCCUGUCCAGUGUCAUUCUGCAAAUUUCAUUUAUAAUCAGAAACAGAAAGGGAAUUUAAAGAGUAUUAAAAGGUUUCUGAUUCCUCCUGGAAAAUUGCUAUUUGGGAUACUCUGAAGUGGGAUUUUGUGAAUGAUCUUCAUUUGGAGAGAUUGAGUUUAAAUAUGACCAGACUGAUGAGCUAACAGCUAGUCCAAAUGCAGCCAAAGUGGAUAACGUGGUUGUUUAAGUAACUAUAAUCUAAAAAUACAAACACUGCUUAAUAAACCUUUUCUGUCAAUUUGAAACCACACAUGUUUUUGAAGUUACUUGCAAGAGCAAAUAUCAGAAUUAGCUGCUAGCUGUAGCACGUCUGAUGCAACCUAGAGCAGUCCCUGCUGCAAAGUCAUACGUUUGCCGUAAAAAAAUAUCUACGUAAUCCAGCUUUCCUAAUAACUUAUUUUGAGAUAGUAAUAAUCCAUUAUAAGGGAGUUUCCCAACUGCCUCACAAGUUCCUGAGGUUUCCUAAUCUCCUCUCAACUCAAAUUUUGGUUAUAUUUUUAAAUCAAUGUACGGUAGAGGAAAAUAAGAGAACUUUAGGAGGAGUUGGAGAUCAAUGAAACAAAGUUGUGACUGACUGUAGACAAACAAAAGCCAAUCUUGACAUUUUGAGACUAAGAGCUGUGAUAUACUUUAAUCUCGCAUUGGAGCAGGCAGCGUCUUAUUUCACUUUCCUGCAGUUACACGACACUGCAUGCAGUACUGGAGUGUUCCACUAGGGGGCGCACUAGAGGACUCAGAAUGGAUUGAGAGCCAGGUUUGUGGGUACAACCAAAUCAAAUAUGGCAUCAAAAAAAAGAGCUCACCAGCUGGUUAAUUUUGAGAUCACGACAGGAAAAAAAGACAGUAGCGAUAUCGUAGAUGUGUGAAAGACGGAGUCACCACGGUGAGUGUGUGUCGCUCGUUUUGUCACCUCCACCUACUGGUUACUCUUAUAUUACAGCGUUUAGACGUGGUGCGUUAAUUUCGGGGCAUGCGUACAAACAAAGCUUCAAAUAUGUACCGCGUGGCAGCCAUUUUAAACACGCGUUUGCGGCGUUAAACAGCAAGUAUAUCACGGCCCUAACGAGUGAGCAAAACAAGAUAUAAAUAAAACUACAUUGCAACAAGAAAAGGUCAGCAUUCUAUUGCAAUCUGCAAGAAAUUGUUAUAUGUACCAAUUUAGUGUGAUUCCAACGAACAUGUUGCGUAUUUUCGCUCAGCUGUUUGUCACAACCCAGUGAGACUCAGACUAGCCAUUUGCUCUUCAAUCCGAUCAAACUUAAUCUCAGGAGCUGUCUACAGCAAAAACUAGCAUCUAAACAAAAAUCAGCUGUGUUCACUAAUUUAAUUUGGUUUCAGUAUCACGUUAGUGAAUGGAUAACUUAUUGCAGGAUGUGCUGGUGCCAAAUACUGACAUAUUUAUUAAUAAAAUUAGGUGCUCCGCAGAGUUUGUUAAUCCUGGUGUUGUGCUUAAUAGCUCCAAAAGGGGGCGCUCAACAAUUUUAACCCAGAAAUAAAUCAUAGGAAGAAGAAAACAGUAAAACGCACCCUAGCACAUUAAAUUCUCAAAAGCAUUUAUAAUUUAUCAGAAAUCCGAUGUAUAUGGAUAUCAUUAUGAUUUUAUUGAUGAUAUGGUGUUUAUAAAAAUCAAUAUUGUGGACCAAAGUUCAGUAUCGCAUCUGGAAACAUCAGUAAAGAUGUUAUUUAUAAAUUUAACACCUGCAACCGUUUUUUUUUUAUCAGAAUACAAAUUUUAAUUUAGAAUAUUUUAACAUUUUUAAAUCAAAUGUUUAGGUGAGCUAACCUUUGUUGUUUUGGAGUAAAUAAGCCAUGUUGCUGUUUGAUCCGUCGUAGGUUCAGCUACACAUUUAGUGAAUGGGUUAUUUCAACACUUUUCCCUAGAAAAUAUUUAAAGUAUAAUAUUAUUUAAAGGAGGAAUAUGUAAACUUAGUAUGUAUGACUUGUCUUUGCUUGUCAUCUAGAAUCUUUUGGCGCUGAUCUGUGACUGGCAACAGCCAUGAAACCAGCGGAACAACAGUAGGAAAGUGACAUUUUCUUAAAGGCUGCAGUAACCAGAUUUGACCACAGGAUGUCGUUCCUCAUUCUCACAUAUUGCACCUUUAAAUAUUUAAUGUUUUAAAAUCUCCAUAGAACAAAUUGUUUGAAAAUUCAUGUUUUAGUGUUUAUCCUCAUUUAUUUACAUGAAAACAAGACUGAAAUAGUCAUUCUUUAUAAACUUAGUGGACUAAAAACAAUAAAUAUGAGUGUUUGGAUUGGUAACAAACAACUAAAGUAAAAUUUGUUGAAAUGUGUUUUCAAUUAUUUACCUGAGGAUAAAACUCUAACGUAAAAGUGACACAUAUUUGAUUUUCUUGGAGUUUUUACCCAAAAGUUGUGUUCAUUUAGACAAAAAAUUAAAAACCCAGUUAAAUUGGGUUGUUUUUUUUAUUAAUUUGACAUUUCAGCAAUAAGAUUUAUAUUUAUUAAUGGUCUUGCUGUUUUGAUGUCUUAAUCUUUUUGUUUUUAUUGGCAAAAGACUGACUUUUGAAACCAAUUUGUUGCCUUUAAGUUUGAAUUUAAGUUAAAGUUUGGACUAAAUGUGGAAACAAUCCCAGCUUGUUCUUUAUAAUACUGCCUUUCUGUACGUUUUUGUGCCUCGAAUUGAAAAUAUUUUUUAUAAGCCGAUUGUUUCUGUGUCUAAGUUGCUGUAAAAAAUAUUUAGCUUAAUUCAUGAUCAAUUAUAUUUAGUCUAACGUAUUGGCGUGUUUGGAGCUCCGUAGAUUUGUUAUGCCGAAACUAAAUGUUUAGUCUUUGAGGUUAAAGUGUGUUUUUUGUAUUGUAUAUUUAACAGUUUCAGUGUUUGUACAGAUUUAUUUAUGACUUUAUAGAAGCACAUUUCACACCUUGUUUGUUGUGGAUUUUUGUUUUCAGCCGAUGACCUAGAUUUUCUGUGACGGAGUGAGAAUUUAUUUUAAUACAAGUUUUUACUUAACGUCCCUUUAAGUGUCAAAAUGCCAAUGGUGUUUUGGUCUGUGCAUUCCCAACUGCUUGGACUGGAAAGGCGAAACAUUCCCAGGCGAUGAAAUGGAAUCGUAAGUGUCACGGCUCCACAGCAGACGAGUGCACUCCUCUCUGUUAUGAUGGUUAAAGAGAGCGAGUCCUACAAUUACCGUCACAGAAGAGUCAUUAAUCACAGGAUGAGCGUGCUCAGCAGCAGCGUGCACUCAAAGUGUCUGGAGUUUCAUUCCAACGCACCAGAACAAAAACACCAGUAAAUAAAAUGGAACAGAAAAAAAAUAAAUACACAAGCGCUGCAGUUACAGGAAUGGUGGUAAAUUUCCCCCAUGCAUGGCAAGCAGGCGGUUGUCACGGCAACCGCCUCCUCCUGGCCCGGAUACGGCCACCCUUCUAAAACGCACUUAGAGAUGAAACGUGGCGCGAGCAGCUGCUGAUGCAACACCCUCAAAGCCAUACACACGCUCAUCAUGAGGAGGUGUCCUCUGUGAUGCAGCUUGAGCUUUCAUCUGAUUGUUAAUUUUAGGUGAAAGAACUUAUUAUUUCAUGUUUUUAUUAAUAAAGGUUGAUGAUGGUUA